rnacentral:rRNA from 1 species
AGUGAACGCUGGCGGUAGGCCUAACACAUGCAAGUCGAACGGCAGCACAGUAAGAGCCUGCUCUUACGGGUGGCGAGUGGCGGACGGGUGAGGAAUACAUCGGAAUCUACUUUUUCGUGGGGGAUAACGUAGGGAAACUUACGCUAAUACCGCAUACGACCUACGGGUGAAAGCAGGGGAUCUUCGGACCUUGCGCGAUUGAAUGAGCCGAUGUCGGAUUAGCUAGUUGGCGGGGUAAAGGCCCACCAAGGCGACGAUCCGUAGCUGGUCUGAGAGGAUGAUCGGCCACACUGGAACUGAGACGCGGUCCAGACUCCUACGGGAGGCAGCAGUGGGGAAUAUUGGACAGUGGGCGCAAGCCUGAUCCAGCCAUACCGCGUGGGUGAAGAAGGCGUUCGGGUUGUAAAGCCCUUUUGUUGGGAAAGAAAAGCAGCAGGUUAAUACCCCGCUGUUCUGACGGUACCCAAAGAAUAAGCACCGGCUAACUUCGUG